rnacentral:rRNA from 1 species
UAGGGAAUAUUGCACAAUGGGGGAAACUCUGAUGCAGCGACGCCGCAUGAGUGAUGAAGGCCUCCGGGUCGUAAAGCUCUGUCGUAUGGGACUAACAAAAUGAAGGUACCAUGCAAGAAAGGAUCGGCUAACUUCGUGCCAGCAGCCGCGGUAAGACGAGGGAUCCUAGCGUUGUUCGGAAUUAUUGGGCGUAAAGCGGGUGUAGGCGGACUUAUAAGUCAGGUGCGAAAUCCCAGGGCUCAACCCUGGAAGUGCACUUGAUACUGCAAGUCUUGAGUGUGGUAGAGGCUAUUAGAAUUCUUGGUGUAGUGGUGAAAUACGUAGAUAUCAAGAGGAAUACCGGAGGCGAAGGCGGAUAGCUGGGCCAACACUGACGCUGAGACCCGAAAGCGUGGGGAUCAAACAGGAUUAGAUACCCACGUAGUCCCUGAGCGGGCUGGCAAGGCGCAU